GGUUUUAUGUUUAGAUUAUAAAAUAAGGUAAAUACAAAGCUAAAUCACCAUAGUUGCAAGGUAUUCAACAAUUUAUCAUUUGUGACAAGACAAAUUAUCAUUCAAAUGACAAUUUGAGAAAGAUGCCAGACACAAGGAGUUUGAAAUAAUUACAAUACAUUACCUAAAACAAAGGAGUUUUCGUCUCCUAUUCUACAAUUUAAAAGCAUUUUUAGAUACUUUAUCCAAUCUCCUAUCUUUCUCACAUUUAUAAGCACACCAGAUGACUGCUUUCACCUUAUAUCUAAUGUUUAUUGUCGUAAAAAUAGUCUAAUUUUCAUAUGGGUUGCAUAGGAAUCACCUUAACCCUUGUCAUUCAAGAGAAAAGGGUUUAUUAGAGAAAUAAGCAGCACUGAAGAACAUUUGAUCAUCAAUGAGCAAUAAAGGAAGUGGAUCAUUAACAGCAACCAGGAAUACUGAUACACGAGCAGCCAAAUGAAUGGUGGAGCUACAACCGUUUGAUCUCUGUGCCUCGGUUUGCACACCCAUAAAUGUUCUACAAUUGCCUUUGCCUUGGUGAAGACAAAGAAGUUGAGGCAUUUGAGAAGCCAGCAAACACAUUUGAGUAGGACUUGGUCAAGUAUGAAAAGUUGGCAAUUGGAGGUAGAGCAGGCACCCGUUCACCUUUCUUCAAAAGCUCUUGCAAGUUUAGUCUCUGCAUGGUCAAGACAGCUCUAGAUUCCUUCCAAAUGAAGGCAAGAAGGCCAUUUUGAAUUACAAAGAGGGAACCAGGCUUUGAGCCAGGAUAUCGGAAACCAUACCCAUUUGCAAUACCCUCGCCUGCAAAUGCAUGUUUUACACUCACAGGAAUAGAAUCAGCAUCAACAUCCCAAGGAAAUGGAUCCUGCGAAGGUUCAUCGAUAUUCACCAUAAACAUUGCUGAGCCAUUUGGAUGGAGAACAUAGUGGGUUCCUUCCAAUAUUUUGGUAGCAAUGAGUUGUCUUUGCCCUUCAUAUUCCUCAUAAGAGAUCAAAAGAAAGAACAAAGCCUUUCCUGGCUUAUCUUCAGUAGGCUUCCCAGGAGGCCAACCAAAAGUCCCACCCCAUAGACCAGCAUACUCUUGGUCAGCUCUUGGAACCCGCAUGGGUAGCUUGUACAGCGCAAACCGACUGUCAUGCAUAUUUGGCCAUGCUCGAUAAGAAGAUAACUUAACUGUAGAGGCAUGUAAUGUCAAUCCUAUUGUAUCACCUGAUCUUAAAAAUUCAUGAAGCUGUGCAUGCUUGCACUCGCUGCUAGAAGAACUAUUCUUAGAAAGUGUACGGCCACCAUUAAUAGAGGGAGACUUCCCCAAUAUUUGUCUAAGGCUAGCCCUAAAAUACCCACUAAGAGUCUUCUUCAUGAUAGAUUUUGUUUGACCAUCCCCGUUUAGAGAAUUAUGAAAUCCACUUGAGCGAUCAAGGCUAUUUUUAAUCUCACUCAAUUGCAGUUGAGUAGGAUCAGAAGGCAUUUCAGGAGCUUCCUUCCAAUCAAACCAACUUCCACCAAACUUAUAAUUUUGAAGAAGCAGGGAUCUCCUUUCAAAUAAGAGCACAAUGUCUUUCUGAAAGUUCUCUUCAUCACUCCUCAACCGAGGAAAUAGUGGCUCAUUUACUGAAUCAGGUACAGUUUGAUGAACUUGGCUUGUAACAACCUCAAUCAAUUUUCUUCUGUCACUAAAAGCCAAGCGGCUAAAAGGCACCUUAGCAUCACACCGUCCAAGCAUCCUCUGUGACCUUGAUAAUCCACUAUUUGACCUAGUAAUCUUUCCUGAUAUCUCCUUAUCUGAACUGUAAGCAAAGCUUUUACUAUGCAAUAAUGUAUUCACAAUCAUUUGUGGCCUAGGCUCAACCUCAAGCAAUAGUACAUUGCAAUUCUGUUCAACAGACUUGACUGAACCAGGAUAAACAUAAUCAUUUCCUUUUUCUCUUCCAUGUAGAAAAAAUAAAAUAGAACCAUCAAGGUCUCCUAUUAUUUCAAACACUGGUGCCCACAGUAUGGGGCCAUCUUCAAUUCCCAGAGGGCCAAGCUCUUGUGGUAUUAUCCGACAUCCAACAACAGACACAAAACCAGGCAUGACAUAUACCACAUUACCUAGCUCAGGGUUUUGAUGAACCCAAAUUCCAAUUAAUGGCUUAACACUCACAAGGAAACGACAAAGUGCCCUAUAAGAUGAAACACCCUUUCUCCAUUCAAUGAGGUCCUGAUGAGGAACAAUACCCAGAAUGUCACAUUGGGUUAGCCAAACCUUUUCAGAGGCCACAAGAGCACAUAAACUCCGGCAGCAAAGACUGAGACUACAGAUGUCCCUAGGCGAAAGUGAACGAGAUAUAAUUGCAAACAAAUCAUCUGGCAGAGCUAGAAGCAAGCUUGAACCACAGAACUCAGGCAACAUACUAGUUUUACUGAUUAUUUACGAAUUUAUCCAGCAAUUCAAAAUUGAAUCAUGGGAAUGAAUAUUUAUUUGCCUACGUAGAACAACCACUGGAUACUGAAGCAAAGAGAUCCAGCUACCAAGAUAAUCCCUCUUUGUCAAAACAGCAAAAGCAAAGGAAACAGAUUCAAACCUGGAAUUUAAAUGACUCUGUCUUAGAUUCUUUAAUUGUAGUAGCUUCUAAUGAAAGUACACAGCACUAAAAGAGACAAAAACUAAUCAACCAGGAAUUCGUUUCAGAUUCUCCAAAAUUGAACAGCCCCUGCAUCAGAUUCACAGAAACUGAACUGGGUUUGUUUCAGAUUCUUAAGCAUAUACAUGAGAAUUACAGCUUAUGGCAAACAAACAAUGGAGAAAGAGAGAAAUGGGUAAUUGGGUAUAAAGCAUGGAAGAAAUUGAAGAGAACCUAGGAUUGGAUUGAGGCCAGCAUCCCCAACUGUGUCCGAGUCCACCCUCUACUGCUUUAUUUCUCCCUCAAAACAAGAGAAUCAAUGAUGGAGGAUGUGAGAUAGAAUUUG
rnacentral:misc_RNA from 1 species